GGAGAGAUGACCGAGCGGUUGAAGGUGCACGCCUGGAAAGCGUGUGUGUGUGUAAGCGCACCGAGGGUUCGAAUCCCUCUCUCUCCGCCA
rnacentral:tRNA from 1 species